GCCGCCGUAGCUCAAUUGGUAGAGCAUCGGACGCUUCAUUCGAAAGUUGCAGGUUCGGUCCCUGCCGGCGGCA
rnacentral:tRNA from 1 species